UAUCUUCUCUUUGAAGAGUAUCAGUUUUUGGGUGUUUGUUUUGUUCUUUAUGGUAUGAACUUGCUUUAUAUAUCAUUAUAUCUCCCGAAUCCUUCUUGUGAUAUGUUUAUUUUAAUUGAUCAAUUUUAGUUGCUGGAGAAUCUUUAGGUAGGAGUCGAUUACAUAUAUCUACCAAUUGAACUGACUGAAUACAAUCUCCAAUUUCCAUCAUCAUGAAUAACUUUUCCCUUGCUUCCUCCACCACAUACUGCUGCUCUACUUUCUCUGGUAAGCCUUACUCCCUUUCCUCCACUCUCCCUUUCUACUCCAUCACCGCUUGCUCCCAUGACUCUGAAAACCCCACCACCACCUCCACCUCCACCUCCACCUCCACCUCCACCUCCACCUCCUCAUCCCUCCGCCGCCCCACCAACAACAAACCACCCUUCAAACCCAUCACCACGAAUCCCCACCCUCCAAAACCCAAAACCCACAUCACCAAUCCCCUUCAAACACUUAAAAGAAACCCAAUUGGUAAUAAUAACAACUCACAAACCCUAACAGAGAAGCUCUGGUUAACCAGCAAACUCUCUCCCCCACCUCCACCUCCACCUCCGCCUCCACCAGCUCCACCACAACCACUGCCAGAUUCUUCUGCAUACAAAACUGAUUUG
rnacentral:lncRNA from 1 species